CAAGCGACAUUUCCAUGGCAAUCGUGAAAUUACGAACACCCAGCCCACUUAAUUAGACAUGUAUUCGAGUAGGUGUUUAUUAGAUAAUUAGCCGAAGUGUGUAAUAUUUUGUUUGUGCAGUGAAAUUAUGGAAUCCCGUACAUCAAGAAUUCUAAAAAUGGCCAUGCUGUUAUCAAACGAUGUGCAUGAAGUGGAUGCAACAAGAGAUGUUAUGGGACUUUCCAAUCCAACAGUAAAUAACUCAUCACCAUCAGAAGAAAUUGAAGUGCAAGAUAACUUUACCUCCACGGCCCCAACUGAAAUUAAGCUGAAUGCUGAUCUUGACAGGUAAGUUUAUAAUUUUUAAAAGAUACCGACAGGACAACUAAGUAUAGAAUUGUAUUUUACUUUAAAAUGCGCGCUUAAUUCGAUCGUGAAGAAGAUACAAAAAGAUUUGUCUAAGUAAAUUAGGUAUCAUAAAUAAUUCCCUCUUCUAAAGUUUUGUGUUAAUGCCAAAGGUUUACAUUCAUAUU